rnacentral:tRNA from 1 species
GUAAUUGUAGCUUAUAUUUUAAAGCACGGCACUGAAGCUGCCGCGAUGGGAACCAGAUUCUCCAAAAACA